rnacentral:rRNA from 1 species
CCUACGGGUGGCAGCAGUGAGGAAUAUUGGUCAAUGGCCGGAAGGCUGAACCAGCCAUGCCGCGUGAAGGUCAGUGCCCUAUGGGCGUUAAACUUCUUUUGUGCGGGAGCAAUAAUGGUCACGUGUGGCCAGACGAGAGUACCGUACGAAUAAGCAUCGGCUAACUCCGUUCCAGCAGCCGCGGUAAAACGGGGGAUGCAAGGGUUAUCCGGGUUUAUUGGGGUUAAAGGGUGCGGAGGCUGUGAGGUAAGUCAGCGGGGAAAAGCCCCCGCUCAACGGGGUGAAGUGCCAUUGAUACUGCCUUGCUGGAAUGCGGAUGCCGUGGGAGGAAUGUGUGGUGUAGCGGUGAAAUGCAUAGAUAUCACACAGAACACCGAUUGCGAAGGCAUCUCACGAAUCCGCGAUUGACGCUGAUGCACGAAAGCGUGGGUAUCAAACAGGAUUAGAUACCCCUGUAGUC